GAAAGGAGUGGCCCCUCAGGAGGAAGGGGCGGGGAGAUCCCAGCUACUAGAGGACGCCCGUUCCAAUGGCAACUCUGCCAAGGCGCCUAUGAGAGCCUCUUGGCUUUUACCUGGUCUGCGAGAAAUCAAACUUUGGGCACAAGUCAUGAAGCCGACAAGCCCGGGAGACACAGUGUCAGAAUUACAAGGUGAGAUCAGCCGCCCGGCCAAGCUAUCUUCUCGCUAGCAGGAACACUACAAGGCCUGUUAGAGAAGAAAGGGUAGAAUCCCGAGAAUGUUUUCCCCACAGUGCUGAUAAGGAGAGACCACUAUCCCAUCUACUGCUACAGCUCUGGAGACAGAGCUCUCCCACCUGUCAUAUAGAACACAAGGACCAAUCUGCAGAGAAAGAGCAUCCAAACCUGAUCCAGUGGACACUGGGGAAAAACUCACCACAGCUGAGUGUGGAAAAACAAGGCCAACACACACAUCUCUGCACAGAUACAUCUCCCAUAAAGAAACUAAAGUGUUAAUUUACAGGGCACUGUUGCAGACCCACUUCAGCUGGAAGCUAGGAACAUGGACAAGGAGCCUCUCUACCACCAAGGGAGAGAGAGGAAUGUGCUCUUGUCCUGGCAUUGCAUCCACAGGAGGGGCAGGAAAUUCUUUGAAGGUCUCGCAUCUGGGGCUCGAUCUCGUGCAGAGGAGCAUUUCCGAAGACACUGGCCGCUCCCACAAUGGCUCCGAAGAACCCAGCGACCAGCGGGUUCAUGAGUUUGUUGGGGCUGUCCACUCGGUACCAGCUGCGCAGGGAUGUCAGGACAAAGAAACAAGUUGCCUGGUUCCAGCCCUGCUUCAGCACGGGGCCUGUGGGGCCCCGGUAAGUCCCGGUGUUCCCGCACAAUCUCCUAACCCUGUGGAAGAAUCCCCUGUACUUGGAUUUGGAGAGGUCUGGCCAUGGAUUAACUUCACCUUGAUGGUCUCCAUGGGACAUAGGACCACCACGGCCUCGGCCACGCUAGCUCACUGGCCGCACCGCUGCCCGCCUUGCUGUUCACCAGUCCCUGGGCAUCCCGCAUCUGGUUGCUGAGGAACGCCUGACGCCGCCUUGUGGAUGAAGCCGCAGAGCAGGGAGCUGAGGCUGCGGCCCAGGCCCAGGCUGCCUUGGCUGCGACUGUGUGCCUGCAGGCCCCAUGCCCGGUAUCCGGUGGAUGCGAGUGCUAGUCCAGCUGCAGCUGCAUCUUCACGAACUCGGUGGGGAACGGGAUGCAGAUUUUUUUUUUCUUUUCCUUCCUUCCUUCCUUCCUUCCAACUUC
rnacentral:lncRNA from 1 species